rnacentral:rRNA from 2 species
UAUUACAAUGAAGAGUUUGAUCCUGGCUCAGGAUGAACGCUAGCUACAGGCUUAACACAUGCAAGUCGAGGGGCAGCAUGGUCUUAGCUUGCUAAGGCCGAUGGCGACCGGCGCACGGGUGAGUAACACGUAUCCAACCUGCCGUCUACUCUUGGACAGCCUUCUGAAAGGAAGAUUAAUACAAGAUGGCAUCAUGAGUCCGCAUGUUCACAUGAUUAAAGGUAUUCCGGUAGACGAUGGGGAUGCGUUCCAUUAGAUAGUAGGCGGGGUAACGGCCCACCUAGUCUUCGAUGGAUAGGGGUUCUGAGAGGAAGGUCCCCCACAUUGGAACUGAGACACGGUCCAAACUCCUACGGGAGGCAGCAGUGAGGAAUAUUGGUCAAUGGGCGCAGGCCUGAACCAGCCAAGUAGCGUGAAGGAUGACUGCCCUAUGGGUUGUAAACUUCUUUUAUAAAGGAAUAAAGUCGGGUAUGGAUACCCGUUUGCAUGUACUUUAUGAAUAAGGAUCGGCUAACUCCGUGCCAGCAGCCGCGGUAAUACGGAGGAUCCGAGCGUUAUCCGGAUUUAUUGGGUUUAAAGGGAGCGUAGAUGGAUGUUUAAGUCAGUUGUGAAAGUUUGCGGCUCAACCGUAAAAUUGCAGUUGAUACUGGAUAUCUUGAGUGCAGUUGAGGCAGGCGGAAUUCGUGGUGUAGCGGUGAAAUGCU